AUUGAACGCUGGCGGCAGGCCUAACACAUGCAAGUCGAACGGUAACAGGGAUCAGCUUGCUGAUUCGCUGACGAGUGGCGGACGGGUGAGUAAUGUCUGGGAAACUGCCUGAUGGAGGGGGAUAACUACUGGAAACGGUAGCUAAUACCGCAUAACGUCGCAAGACCAAAGAGGGGGACCUUCGGGCCUCUUGCCAUCGGAUGUGCCCAGAUGGGAUUAGCUAGUAGGUGGGGUAACGGCUCACCUAGGCGACGAUCCCUAGCUGGUCUGAGAGGAUGACCACCCACACUGGAACGGAGACACGACCCACACCCCUACGGGAGGCACGAGGGGGGAAUAUGGAAAAAUGGGCGAAAGCCGGAUGCAGCCAUGCGGCGUGUAGGAAGAGGGCCUUCGGGUGGUAAAGAACUUUCGGGGGGGAGGAAGGGAGAAAAUUUAAAACUUUGGCUUAUGGAGUUUCCCCGAAAAAGAAGCCCCGGCAACCCCCGUG
rnacentral:rRNA from 1 species